UGCAGCCUCAACCUCCUGGGCUCAAGCAGUCUUUCUGCCUCAGAGUGCUGGGAUUACAGACGGGAGCCACCACGCCAGGCCUACGAGAUUUGACUUGUAAAGAAUUAAUUAUAUUGACUGAGAGAGAAGCCCAGAAGAGGAAGAAGAGGAAAGAAAAGGAGUCAGGGAUGGCUCUUACACAGUGCCUAAAUGAAGACGUAUGGGUCUUUUACUGUUUUUUGCUGUUACAAAGAAUGUCACCGUGGCUGCCUGUAUGCAUGCUAUCUUUACCACAGAUGUCUGAAGUUUCCUCCAGGUUGGGCAGUUUAAAGAGUGAGUGCCUCUUUUAGGAUGGCAUACCACAAAAGCAAAAAUAAAUAAAUGUUUUCCUUUAUCUUUUUCUGG
rnacentral:lncRNA from 10 species